GUGCCUAACACAUGCAAGUCGAACGAGAAAGUGGAGCAAUCCAUGAGUAAAGUGGCGACCGGGUGAGUAACACGUGACUAACCUGCCCUAGAGUGGGGGAUAACCUCGGGAAACCGGGGCUAAUACCGCAUAACAUCACGAGGGGAAGAUCCUUGUGAUCAAAGGAGCAAUUCGCUCCAGGAGGGGGUCGCGGCUGAUUAGCCAGUUGGCGGGGUAACGGCCCACCAAAGCCAAGAUCAGUAGCCGGCCUGAGAGGGCGCACGGCCACACUGGAACUGAAACACGGUCCAG
rnacentral:rRNA from 1 species